rnacentral:rRNA from 1 species
GGCUCAGGAUGAACGCUGGCUACAGGCCUAACACAUGCAAGUCGAGGGGCAGCAUGGACUUAGCUUGCUAAGUCUGAUGGCGACCGGCGCACGGGUGAGUAACGCGUAUCCAACCUUCCCCAUGUCCACGGGAUAGCCCGUCGAAAGGCGGAUUAAUACCGUAUGAGGUCACAUGCGGGCAUCUAAGUGUGACGAAAGGUUUUGCGGACAUGGAUGGGGAUGCGUCCGAUUAGCUGGUUGGCGGGGUAACGGCCCACCAAGGCGACGAUCGGUAGGGGUUCUGAGAGGAAGGUCCCCCACAUUGGAACUGAGACACGGUCCAAACUCCUACGGGAGGCAGCAGUGAGGAAUAUUGGUCAAUGGACGUAAGUCUGAACCAGCCAAGUAGCGUGCAGGAUGACGGCCCUAUGGGUUGUAAACUGUCUUUUAUGCGGGGAUAAAGUGUGGGACGUGUCCCAUAUUGUAGGUACCGCAUGAAUAAGGACCGGCUAAUUCCGUG